rnacentral:rRNA from 1 species
AUGGACCAAUCCAUCCCUUUUUCCCGUGCAUAUGCAUCGGACUCGGAUGACGAUGGUCCUGAUGAAGAAGUUGAUGAGGAGGGGUUCACACCGAAGGAGGCCGAAGCAUUCCAGAAGGUAUUCGGGCGGGAUCACAAGACACCAUUGUUCAAGGAUCUUAGUCUCGCGGAUGAAGCCGUUGUGGAUGGUGGAAAAUGCAUAUCUCUUGGAGCUAGGCCAAGUUCUCACCAUGAUUUGGAAGACGGCAAGAACGGGAUAUAUCCCGGUUGUGAGUUUCAAUCCUUCUUGGAAUUGAAGAUGUGGCUCGACAACUACUCGGUUAUACAUUAUCGUCCACAUAAAGUGGCCAACUCGGACGUGAAUGUGCGUUACACGGUCAAAUGUGAAGUGCCAACAUGUCCAUGGAUUGUGCGUGCAAGGCCAUGGAAAGGAGGUCCCACUUGGCGCAUAGUGAGUUGUCUACCAACUCACAUGUGCCGGCACAAGAAUACGGAUGGCUUGUGUACCAACAACACAGACAACAUGUGUUCAACUACAAGAAUCUCAACAUCUCCUUCUCACACAAUGAAUAUGUCAUAUGUGUUCAAAUAA